AACGAACGCUGGCGGCGUGCUUAACACAUGCAAGUCGAACGCGAAAGGGACUUCGGUCCUGAGUAAAGUGGCGCACGGGUGAGUAACGCGUAGAUAACCUGUCUUUAUGUCUGGAAUAAUACGCCGAAAGGGGUACUAAUACCGGAUAUUUUUGCAUUGCACAAGUGAUGUAAGCAAAGGUGGCCUCUGACAUAAGCUACUGCAUAAAGAGGGGUCUGCGUACCAUUAGCUAGUAGGUGGGGUAAAGGCCUACCUAGGCUACGAUGGUUAGCGGGUCUGAGAGGAUGAUCCGCCACACUGGCACUGGAACACGGGCCAGACUCCUACGGGAGGCAGCAGUGAGGAAUAUUGCGCAAUGGGGGCAACCCUGACGCAGCGACGCCGCGUGAGUGAGGAAGGCCUUCGGGUCGUAAAGCUCUGUCAAAGGGAAAGAAGUGCAUGGAGGUUAAUACCCUUCAUGUUUGACGGUACCCUUAAAGGAAGCACCGGCUAACUCCGUG
rnacentral:rRNA from 2 species